rnacentral:rRNA from 1 species
UUUGAGGAUCCUGGGAAGUAAUUUCCUAGGCCUAUUCUCAAACUUUAAAUGGGU